rnacentral:rRNA from 1 species
UGGGGAAUCUUGCACAAUGGAGGAAACUCUGAUGCAGCGACGCCGCGUGAGCGAAGAAGCCUUUCGGGGUGUAAAGCUCUUACGCCAGGGACGAUAAUGACGGUACCUGGAGAAGCAGCUGCGGCUAACUACGUGCCAGCAGCCGCGGUAAUACGUAGGCAGCAAGCGUUGUUCGGAAUUACUGGGCGUAAAGGGUGCGUAGGCGGCGCUCUAAGUUUGGUGUGAAAUCUCCCGGCUUAACUGGGAGGGUGCACUGAAAACUGGGAAGCUGGAGUGUGGGAAAGGCAGGCGGAAUUCCUGGUGUAGCGGUGAAAUGCGUAGAUAUCAGGAGGAACACCGGCGGUGUAGACGGCUUGCUAGACCAUAACUGACGCUGAGGCACGAAAGCGUGGGUAGCAAACA